rnacentral:lncRNA from 1 species
GGGGCAGCAGACAGAGCCUAGGUCGUGGCCUUGCUGGGGUUUCCACUGGAAGAGAAGGUGGGGCGGGGUGAACGGUUUUGGGCUGGCUGGUGUGAAUAAUGUUGGUGGGCUUUGGGCCAUAGAGUGGCCCCUGGUUGCCUGGUACCUGGCCCUGGAUGAUGGAGGUGGAGGAACAUUGCCUCCUGGGAUGCACAUGCCCGUAGAGGAGGUCUGAUUAAGAUUGGGUAAUUUGUAUGUCACAUGCUCCAGGCUGGGCCCUUUAUGUCUCCAAGUCUCUGCCAGCUCUGGGCUGGCAGUCUUUCCCCAGCCAGAAAGGUUCUCCAAGAUGUCAAAAUACCGUAACAUAUAGAACAUUAAAAAUAUAUUCCAUACACCCCCAACCAAGGGAAAUGCCAUUCCUCCAGAUGGCAGAACUGAGGACAGGAAAUAAGACUGUUUAGAAAUGCGAUAGACAAUUUAUAUUCAGCCUCGCUCUAAAGAAGAUUUGGGGUGGAUUAUAGUGCUGUAACACAGCAGAUGAAAGAGAUCAGACAUCAGUAUAAAAAGGAUUGUUGUGUUUCCAGGGCUCUGAGCAAGUAUAGCUUCUCAUCUAGCCAGGAGCCAGGGACGCUCUGAUGGGUGUGGGGGAAUAAGAUGGGCAACACGCAAAGGCAUUUGGGAAAUUCUAGGAGGCGUUGGCCAAGUGGGUUGAUAUUUCCAUCUGACUGGCAGAAAGGCAGUGAGAGGCCCUGUCCUUCCUCCCUCUGCUCUGCCCCACAGGCUUCCACUUCCCCCUCUCGGGGGUUUUUAGGGGCUUCCUGCUUCUGGUGUUGGCUCGUGAGCCACAUGUGAGAUGCUGUCAACACAAUCGCUUUAACCUGGAACAAGGGACCGGAAAAUGCCCCCUCUGCUGACCAACAGCAUCGUGCUGGGGAUUGUUGGCUGUGUGCAGCCAGCCUGGUGUACAGAUGAGGCCAAGACUCAGACGACGGCGCGACUCAGGCAAGACGCCAGCUUUGACAGCCUCCACCAGCACUGUCACCUGGCUUUAUGGUCCCACAAAUCUUGCUGCAGUAGCAGCAGAUUCAGAUGACAUGGGCUCUGAUGGUUUUGUACCAGGAAAAUCUGAUAGACAUCGUCCUCGCUUCUUCAACGGUGAGUUAGCCACUUUGAAGGGCGGGGAAAUCGUGGUAUUUCCCUAUUUUCCAAGGUCCCAUCAGUCUCUGUAUCCAAACUCACUGGCUCCUGGAUCCACAUUCUCCCACAGAAACUUGAUGCCCUCCGAAGUGAGCCCCAGGCAUUUCUGGACUGCUAGACAUGUGCCCAUCAGCAGUUCUGGCCAGCUGUCUGCUCAGCUGCUCCGUGGCAUCUGUUAUUUCUUUGCUCUUUUUGGCUGGCUCUCUCUUUCAUUUGGCACCACCCUGCCUGCCAGCGUAUCUGCCUCACUCUGGGAGUCCAUCCACGGAGAGACCCAUGGCCCAGCGGGCACCUGCGUGUCCUGGGGUGGCUGCGUCUCUCCAGCCAUCAGGAGACCCAGGAUGCCCGAGAGUCCCUGA